rnacentral:rRNA from 1 species
UUGCCCCAGUAACGGCGAGUGAAGCGGCAACAGCUCAAAUUUGAAAUCUGGCCCCCCCGGGGGCCCGAGUUGUAAUUUGCAGAGGAUGCUUUUGGCGCGGCGCCCUCCGAGUUCCCUGGAACGGGACGCCACAGAGGGUGAGAGCCCCGUCUGGUGGGAGGCCAAGCCAGUGUAAAGCUCCUUCGACGAGUCGAGUAGUUUGGGAAUGCUGCUCUAAAUGGGAGGUAUAUGUCUUCUAAAGCUAAAUAGCGGCCAGAGACCGAUAGCGCACAAGUAGAGUGAUCGAAAGAUGAAAAGCACUUUGAAAAGAGGGUUAAACAGUACGUGAAAUUGUUGAAAGGGAAGCGCUCGUGACCAGACUCGGGCCCGGUGAAUCAGCCAGCGUUCUCGCUGGCGCACUUCGCCGGGCGCGGGCCAGCAUCAGCUCGCCGCGGGGGACAAAAGCGGCGGGAACGUGGCUCCGCAGGGAGUGUUAUAGCCCGCUGCACAAUGCGCCGCGGCGGACUGAGGUUCGCGCUCCGCAAGGAUGCUGGCGUAAUGGUCAUCAGCGACCCGUCUUGAAACACGGACCAAGGAGUCGUCUUCGUAUGCGAGUGUUCGGGUGGCAAACCCCUACGCGGAAUGAAAGUGAAGGCAGGUGAGAGCCUCGGCGCAUCAUCGACCGAUCCUGAUGUUCUCGGAUGGAUUUGAGUAAGAGCAUACGGGGCCGGACCCGAAAGAAGGUGAACUAUGCCUGUAUAGGGUGAAGCCAGAGGAAACUCUGGUGGAGGCUCGCAGCGGUUCUGACGUGCAAAUCGAUCGUCAAAUAUGGGCAUGGGGGCGAAAGACUAAUCGAACCUUCUAGUAGCUGGUU